UACGGAAGGCAGCAGUGGGGAAUAUUGCACAAUGGGCGAAAGCCUGAUGCAGCUAUGCCGCGUGUAUGAAGAAGGCCUUAGGGUUGUAAAGUACUUUCAUCGGGGAGGAAAAACAAAACUAAUAAUUUUAUUUCUUGACGUUACCCGAAAAAGAAGCACCGGCUAACUCCGUGCCAGCAGCCGCGGUAAUACGGAGGGUGCUAGCGUUAAUCAGAAUUACUGGGCGUAAAGAGCACGUAGGUGGUUUUUUUAAGUCAGAUGUGAAAUCCCUGGGCUUAACCUGGAAUUGCAUUUUGAAACUGAAAUACUAGAGUAUCGUAGAGGGAGGUAGAAUUCUAGGUGUAGCGGUGAAAUGCGUAGAUAUCUGGAGGAAUACCUGUGGCGAAAGCGGCCUCCUAAACGAAUACUGACACUGAGGUGCGAAAGCGUGGGGAGCAAACAGGGAUUAGAUACC
rnacentral:rRNA from 1 species